rnacentral:lncRNA from 1 species
CAGCAUUGUAUGCACGUGUACCAUCUUCGCUUGCGACUGGAACGCCUCUCGCGGAUUAAAGAGCGGUCGACUUCAAGUCGGGGCAAGCGUAUGUGGAUUCGGCUUGCACCACAGAAUGGCCGCGCUCGCGUCGGGCCGCGUGAUCAGCCCAGCCGAGCUGACCCAUAGCUGUCUACAUUGUUCCUCUUUACAGCUCUGGCGGUGGCGGCGGUGGCCAGGCCGCUAAGGACGCUCUGGGCAACGACAUCAAGGCCGGGGAGUGGCUGAAGACCCACCUGGCUGGUGACCGCUCGCUGUCCCAGGGCCUGAAGGUGGGAAAAUAGGAACGUAUAAUUCAGCUGCAGUUGAGUGUGCCGCGGGAGCGCACAGUCGAGGUCGACCAUUCCUCUCACGCGGUUCGCUUUCUUUACUUGCAGGGUGACCCCACCUACCUGAUCGUCACCGCCGACAGCACCAUCGAGAAGUACGGCCUGAACGCCGUGUGCACUCACCUGGGCUGCGUCGUGCCUUGGGUGGCGGUGAGUCGCGCCAAACGAUGAACCAACUUUACUGCGGCGAGCGGUCGGCGAACCCUGAAAGUCUGGACUAGACGUAUUGUUGAUGUCAACUGUAAUUAUGUCUCUGCCCUGAGUCAUUUGUGUGCUUGACACUCGCAGGCCGAGAACAAGUUCAAGUGCCCUUGCCACGGCUCUCAGUACAACGCUGAGGGCAAGGUGGUCCGUGGCCCCG